rnacentral:rRNA from 1 species
AUUGAACGCUGGCGGCAUGCCUUACACAUGCAAGUCGAACGGCAGCGGACCUUCGGGUGCCGGCGAGUGGCGAACGGGUGAGUAAUAUAUCGGAACGUACCUUUCAGUGGGGGAUAACGUAGCGAAAGUUACGCUAAUACCGCAUAUUCUGUGAGCAGGAAAGCAGGGGAUCGCAAGACCUUGCGCUGAUUGAGCGGCCGAUAUCAGAUUAGCUAGUUGGUGAGGUAAAGGCUCACCAAGGCGACGAUCUGUAGCGGGUCUGAGAGGAUGAUCCGCCACACUGGAACUGAGACACGGUCCAGACUCCUACGGGAGGCAGCAGUGGGGAAUUUUGGACAAUGGGCGCAAGCCUGAUCCAGCAAUGCCGCGUGCAGGACGAAGGCCUC